UGAAAAAUAGCAUAGUUUAAUGCAGUAAAUUUUGAUUUUACAGACAGUAAUUAUUUUUACUUUUUUCAU
rnacentral:tRNA from 1 species